GUCGAACGGUAGCGCGGGGGCAACCCUGGCGACGAGUGGCGAACGGGUGAGUAACACAUCGGAACAUGUCCAUAAGUGGGGGAUAGCCCGGCGAAAGCCGGAUUAAUACCGCAUACGCUCUGAGGAGGAAAGUGGGGGACCUUCUAGAAACUGGAGACUAGAGACUGGAAACUAGACUAAUUUGGCGCGGCUUUGCCGCUUCUUAUAAAUCUAGUCUCUAGCUUCUAGUCUCUGGUUUCUAGAAGGCCUCACGCUUUAGGAGUGGCCGAUGUCGGAUUAGCUAGUUGGGGGGGUAAAGGCCCACCAAGGCGACGAUCCGUAGCUGGUCUGAGAGGAUGAUCAGCCACACUGGGACUGAGACACGGCCCAGACUCCUACGGGAGGCAGCAGUGGGGAAUUUUGGACAAUGGGGGCAACCCUGAUCCAGCCAUGCCGCGUGAGUGAAGAAGGCCUUCGGGUUGUAAAGCUCUUUCGGACGGAACGAAAUGGUCAGGGUGAAUAUCCCUGACUGAUGACGGUACUGUAAGAAGAAGCACCGGCUAACUACGUGCCAGCAGCCGCGGUAAUACGUAGGGUGCGAGCGUUAAUCGGAAUUACUGGGCGUAAAGGGUGCGCAGGCGGCCGCGCAAGUCAGGUGUGAAAUCCCCGGGCUUAACCUGGGAAUUGCGCUUGAAACUAUGCGGCUAGAGUGUGGCAGAGG
rnacentral:rRNA from 1 species